rnacentral:rRNA from 1 species
AACGAACGCUGGCGGCAGGCUUAACACAUGCAAGUCGAACGCAUCCUUCGGGGUGAGUGGCAGACGGGUGAGUAACGCGUGGGAACGUGCCCUUCAGUUCGGGAUAACCCAGGGAAACUUGGGCUAAUACCGGAUACGUGCGAGAGCAGAAAGAUUUAUCGCUGAAGGAUCGGCCCGCGUCUGAUUAGCUAGUUGGUGGGGUAAUGGCCCACCAAGGCGACGAUCAGUAGCUGGUCUGAGAGGAUGAUCAGCCACAUUGGGACUGAGACACGGCCCAGACGCCUACGGAAGGCAGCAGUGGGGAAUAUUGGACAAUGGGCGCAAGCCUGAUCCAUCCAUGCCGCGUGAGUGAUGAAGGCCUUAGGGUUGUAAAGCUCUUUCGUCCGGGACGAUAAUGACGGUACCGGAAGAAGAAGCCCCGGCUAACUUCGUGCCAGCCGCCGCAGUAA